AAGCACCAGGUAAUAUCAGCUG
rnacentral:miRNA from 1 species